GACGAACGCUGGCGGCGUGCUUAAUGAAUGCGAGUCGAACGAGAACCGAUGGGUGUCUUCGGGCAACUGUCGGGGACAGUGGCGAACGGGUGAGUAACACGUGGGUAACCUGCCUCCAAGACGGGGACAACAGCGGGAAACCGCUGCUAAUACCCGAUAUGCUACUAUCACACAAGUGGUGGUAGGAAAGUUCCGGCGCUUGGAGAUGGGCCCGCGGCCGAUUAGCUUGUUGGUGGGGUAACGGCCUACCAAGGCGACGAUCGGUAGCCGACCUGAGAGGGUGACCGGCCACACUGGGACUGAGACAUGGUCCAGACUCCUACGGGAGUUAGCAUCAGGGAAUCUUGCACAAUGAGCGAAAGCUCGAUGCAGCGACGCCGCGUGGGUGAUGAAGGACUGCGGUCCGUAAAGCCCUGUCAGAGGGGAAGAAGAUCUGACGGUACCCUCAGAGGAAGCCCCGGCUAACUACGUG
rnacentral:rRNA from 1 species